ACAACUACUUUGAGGUGGAGCUGAGCUCAUGGGGAGGCAGAGACAACCAGAGUGGGCCACCCACACACAAACUGCGCAGCUUAAGCCAGGCCUGGCUCAGGAAGUGGAUACAAAAGUUCAAGGACCACAUCCAAGGUGCCGCACGGUCUCUGAAGGCCGGGAACACACUGAGCGCCACCAUCCCCGUCUCCCCCAGCACCGACCCCCGCGGGCACCACAAGGUGAACCAGAGACCUGGGAAGGCGUCUGCCCUG